rnacentral:rRNA from 1 species
UACGUAGGUGGCUAGCGUUGUCCGGAUUUACUGGGCGUAAAGAGCGCGCAGGCGGUCGUUCAAGUCGAGUGUGAAAGCCCCCGGCUCAACUGGGGAGGGUCACUCGAUACUGAUCGACUCGAAGGCAGGAGAGGGAAGCGGAAUUCCCGGUGUAGUGGUGAAAUGCGUAGAUAUCGGGAGGAACACCAGUGGCGAAGGCGGGUCUCUGGGCCGUAACUGACGCUGAGGAGCGAAAGCGUGGGGAGCGAACAGG